UCACCAGCUGUGUGAUCCUGGGGAAAUCACUCAAUCCUGUUUGCCUUGAAUUCCUCUUUUAUAAAAGGUGCCAGAGAAGGAAAUGGAAAACCACUCUAGUAUCUUUGCCAAGAAAAUUUUCUAAUGGGUUCACAAAGAGUUGGACAUGAUUGAACAAUGAUAAUUAUGUGUCAGGCACUGUGCAAAGUAUCUGGGCUACAGAGGAAGGCAAAAGAGGCAGCUAGGUAGCACAGUGGAGAGGAAGCCAGGCCUAGAGAAGGGAUGUUCUGGGUACAAAUUUAUCAUGAGACACUUCCUACCUGUGUGACCCUGGGCAAGUCACUUAAUCCCAAAUGCUUUGCCCUUACUGCUCUUUCUGCCUUGGAAAUAAUACUUAAUAUAGAUUCUAAGACAGAAGGUAAGGAUUAAAAAAAAACAAAAAGAAAAUGCCUGAAGUUAAAAGAUGAAAUGUCUUAUGUGAUGAAUACCAGAGAGACCAGUAUCCCUGGAUGGAAUAGUUCAUGAAGGAACUUGAAAGGCUGACGGAUGGCAGGAGCAACAGCCCCAGCAGCCUCCCUAAGGGCUGGGUGGCAGAUGGAAGGACACCUUCCUGGGCCUCAGCAUUGAUCACAGCUCAUCCACAGCAGGUCUUGUACUUCUGGGAAUCUGAAGGCUGAAUGUAUGAGGAUUCCAGUUAAACCUAAACUCCAAAAUCAUUUUUUGCUGCCUUCUAUUUUCUUUGUACUUUUUACUUACCAAUGUUUUUUUUUUAUCAUCUCUGAUCUCAAAGCAUUCUUGUUCUAUCAAUGAGAGCUUGUCAAGUCAAAGUUGGCACUAGGGCAGCUAUGUGAUUCAGGGGAUAGUAUGCCCAGACCAGAGUCAAGAAGACUCAUCUACCUGAGUUCAAAUCUGGCCUCAGACACUCAUUAGCUGUGUGACCCUGGGCAAGUCACUUAAUCCUGUUUGCUUCUGAGAGGGAGAGGAAAAUGACACACCACUCCAGUAUCUUUGCCAAGAAAACCCCAAAUGUGAUCAGGAAGUGUUGGACAUUACUAAAAAAACAAACAAAUCAGAGAUGAUUAUCUUGAAUGAUCUAGAUUAGAUAAGAAACCUGAGAUUUAGGAAGAUCUUGAAUUGAAGUAGGCAGAUCACUUGGUUUAGAAGUCAGGAGACCUUGUCUAAUUCUGACUUUGGCAAUCAAUAAACAUUUAAGUGCCUACA
rnacentral:lncRNA from 1 species